AUAGUUGUAAGGUGGAAAGGAUGGAAAAGGUAAAGCUAUGUCUUAUCAGACAUAGCCUGAUGGAUUUCACGUGAAAGAUGGAAAUCAGCAAUUCUAAAAUUCAUGGAGCAAAAUGUGUGGGAUGGAAGGAUUUAUCUCUAAACUUCAAGGACACUCCAAAGGCUGAAGAAGAGAGAGAUAUGUUCUUCAUCUGUGCUCUGAAAACAGUAAUGAUGAAAGACACAACUGGCUUGCUUAUAGAAUCCUGAAAGAGAAUUAUCAAGGUGGCCUUCCAGACCUUCAGUUUAAAUAUCCUGGUCCUGAGACAGAGAAAAAGCUUAUUUUAAAAAUCACUAUGAAAGGAUGUUCCAUGGAUGUGCUCAAUAAUCUUCUCAGUUAGUGAAAUACUGUGUGGCUGCAUAAACUCUCAGACAACUGUCGUGCCAAAAAUGAAAUAGAAGACCUACAAUCUCAGCAUACGUUAACCACUGGGUGAAGAAUGUUUUUUGGGAUGAUGCUGUGUGUUUUUAACUCUCACCGUUACCAUCUCUGUGGCAGAGUUCAGAAGCAGGUUACAAUUGCUCAAAUGUAAGAUGAGACAGAAAUGUAUCUUUCUUUAAAAUCCAAGGAAUGCCCAUAUUUGAUAGUGCAAUGUUAUACUCAGAAACUGAUUGUAGCCCUUACUUUAGGUGAUGAAUGGUUACCUUUUUUUCUCUGAGGUGAUGCCAAGGGCCAGGUUUGGUAUAAAAGAUACCUAUAUUUCUCCAUAACGUUAUGGAAAGUGAUGGCGAUGUUAUAAGAAUAGCAAUUAAAAUGUGUAGAAUUUGUUGCACAGGGUCAUGCUGAAGUUAAAUUAUUUCAUUUAAGAACAAAUAGUUUUCCUCUCCUCCUCUCCCUUUGCUCUAAGGGAGCAAAAGUCCCCUGUUCUAAGCCCCUUUCCCCCUCCCCCUUCCAUUUCUUCCCCUCCCUGUCUGCCUUUAUCCCAGAAGUACGCUUCUUUAAGGAAUCUAUCCCAUUUCUUUCUUUCUUUGAUAUUUAAAGCUAUUUUACUGAGAAAAUAAUUUGUUGUUUAAUAAAGGAGAAAGAAAAGUAA